rnacentral:rRNA from 1 species
GAUGAACGCUGGCGGCGUGCCUAAUACAUGCAAGUCGAGCGAACAGAUGAUGAGCUUGCUCCUCUGACGUUAGCGGCGGACGGGUGAGUAACACGUGGAUAACCCACCUAUAAGACUGGGAUAACUUCGGGAAACCGGCGCUAAUACCGUAUAAUAUAUUGAACCGCAUGGUUCAAUAGUGAAAGACGGUUUUGCUGUCACUUAUAGAUGGAUCCGCGCCGCAUUAGCGAGUUGUUCAGGUAACGGCUUACCAAGGCAACGAUGCGUAGCCGACGUGAGAGGGUGAUCGGCCACCCGGGAAGGGAGACACGGUCCAGACUACUACGGGAGGCAGCAGAAGGGAAUCUUACGCAAUAGGCGAAAGCCUGACGGAGCAACGGCGCGUGAGUGAUGAAGGUCUUCGGAUCGUAAAACUCUGUUAUUAGGGAAGAACAAAUGUGUAAGUAAAUAUGCACGUCUUGACGGUACCUAAUCAGAAAGCCCCGGCUAACUACGUG